rnacentral:rRNA from 1 species
AGGAUGAACGCUGGCGGCGUGCUUAACACAUGCAAGUCGAACGAUGAUCUCCAGCUUGCUGGGGGAUUAGUGGCGAACGGGUGAGUAACACGUGAGUAACCUGCCCUUGACUCUGGGAUAAGCCUGGGAAACUGGGUCUAAUACUGGAUAUGACUGACUAUCGCAUGGUGGUUGGUGGAAAGCUUUUGUGGUUUUGGAUGGACUCGCGGCCUAUCAGCUUGUUGGUGGGGUAAUGGCCUACCAAGGCGACGACGGGUAGCCGGCCUGAGAGGGUGGACGGCCACACUGGGACUGAGACACGGCCCAGACUCCUACGGGAGGCAGCAGUGGGAAUAUUGCACAAUGGGCGCAAGCCUGAUGCAGCGACGCCGCGUGAGGGAUGAAGUCGUCGUUCGGUACGUAACCUUCUUACGAGGUAAGGAAG